GCCUCCUCCCCUAGGAAGACAAGGCCUUCAAGCAGAAACAGAAAGAGGAGCAGAAGAAACUCGAGGAGCUGAAAGCGAAGGCCGCGGGGAAGGGGCCCCUCGCCACAGGUGGAAUUAAGAAAUCUGGCAAAAAGUAAGCUGUUUGUUGUCCCUGAGAUGAUGGUGACCCUUGAUUCCAUUCCCAUUCAACAUCUGGAUUUCCUGUAGUAACAUUUCUGCCACCUAAAGGUAGAAUGAAGUUUUGUCUAGGACUCUGAA